rnacentral:tRNA from 1 species
GAAGAUACAGUUCAGUGGUAGAGCACGUGCUUAGCAUGCACGAGGUCCUGGGUUCAAUCCCCAGGACCUCCA